rnacentral:rRNA from 1 species
UACAGAGGGCUCAAGCGUUGUUCGGAUUCAUUGGGCGUAAAGGGUGCGUAGGCGGCGCGGUAAGUCUGGUGUGAAAUCUCGGAGCUUAACUCCGAAACUGCAUUCGAUACUGCCGUGCUUGAGGACUGGAGAGGAGACUGGAAUUUACGGUGUAGCGGUGAAAUGCGUAGAUAUCGUAAGGAAGACCAGUGGCGAAGGCGGGUCUCUGGACAGUACCUGACGCUGAGGCACGAAGGUCAGGGGAGCAAACGGG